GUCUAUGGCCAUGCCACCCUGAGCAAGACCGAUCCCAUCUGAUCUCGGAAGCUAAGCGGGGUUGGGCCUGGUUAGUACUUGGAUGGGAGAUCACCUCGGAAGACCAGGUGCUGUAGGCG
rnacentral:rRNA from 1 species